ensembl:lncRNA
AUGCAUUAUAGAAUGAGUUUCAACAACAUAAAGCAGUUUCAUACGUACAGUAGAUAUAUAGGCAGUAACAAUAUAAAUCAUGUAAUUAUGUAUAGAAUGUGUUUAUGGUCCAUCAAUAUCCUACUAUACAUCAGACAGUUACUAUACAUCAUACAGUUACUAUACAUCAGACAGUUACUAUACAUCAGACAGUACAGUUACUAUACAUCAGACAGUUACUAUACAUCAGACAGUUACUAUACAUCAUACAGUUACUAUACAUCAGACAGUUACUAUACAUCAUACAGUUACUAUACAUCAGACAGUUACUAUACAUCAUACAGUUACUAUACAUCAUACAGUUACUAUACAUCAUACAGUUACUAUACAUCAUACAGUUACUAUACAUCAGACAGUUACUAUACAUCAUACAGUUACUAUACAUCAGACAGUUACUAUACAUCAGACAGUUACUAUACAUCAGACAGUUACUAUACAUCAUACAGUUACUAUACAUCAGACAGUUACUAUACAUCAUACAGUUACUAUACAUCAUACAGUUACUAUACAUCAUACAGUUACUAUACAUCAUACAGUUACUAUACAUCAGACAGUUACUAUACAUCAUACAGUUACUAUACAUCAGACAGUUACUAUACAUCAGACAGUUACUAUACAUCAGACAGUUACUAUACAUCAGACAGUUACUAUACAUCAGACAGUUACUAUACAUCAUACAGUUACUAUACAUCAUACAGUUACUAUACAUCAGACAGUUACUAUACAUCAUACAGUUACUAUACAUCAGACAGUACAGUUACUAUACAUCAGACAGUACAGUUACUAUACAUCAGACAGUUACUAUACAUCAGACAGUACAGUUACUAUACAUCAGACAGUUACUAUACAUCAGACAGUACAGUUACUAUACAUCAGACAGUUACUAUACAUCAGACAGUACAGUUACUAUACAUCAGACAGUUACUAUACAUCAGACAGUUACUAUACAUCAGACAGUACAGUUACUAUACAUCAGACAGUACAGUUACUAUACAUCAGACAGUUACUAUACAUCAGACAGUUACUAUACAUCAGACAGUACAGUUACUAUACAUCAGACAGUACAGUUACUAUACAUCAGACAGUUACUAUACAUCAGACAGUACAGUUACUAUACAUCAGACAGUACAGUUACUAUACAUCAGACAGUUACUAUACAUCAGACAGUUACUAUACAUCAGACAGUUACUAUACAUCAGACAGUUACUAUACAUCAGACAGUUACUAUACAUCAGACAGUUACUAUACAUCAGACAGUUACUAUACAUCAGACAGUUACUAUACAUCAGACAGUUACUAUACAUCAGACAGUUACUAUACAUCAGACAGUACAGUUACUAUACAUCAGACAGUACAGUUACUAUACAUCAGACAGUACAGUUACUAUACAUCAGACAGUACAGUUACUAUACAUCAGACAGUACAGUUACUAUACAUCAGACAGUUACUAUACAUCAGACAGUACAGUUACUAUACAUCAGACAGUUACUAUACAUCAGACAGUUACUAUACAUCAGACAGUUACUAUACAUCAGACAGUUACUAUACAUCAGACAGUUACUAUACAUCAGACAGUUACUAUACAUCAGACAGUUACUAUACAUCAGACAGUUACUAUACAUCAUACAGUUACUAUACAUCAGACAGUUACUAUACAUCAUACAGUUACUAUACAUCAGACAGUACAGUUACUAUACAUCAGACAGUUACUAUACAUCAUACAGUUACUAUACAUCAGACAGUUACUAUACAUCAUACAGUUACUAUACAUCAGCCAGUUACUAUACAUCAGACAGUUACUAUACAUCAGACAGUUACUAUACAUCAGACAGUUACUAUACAUCAUACAGUUACUAUACAUCAGACAGUACAGUUACUAUACAUCAGACAGUACAGUUACUAUACAUCAGACAGUACAGUUACUAUACAUCAGACAGUACAGUUACUAUACAUCAUACAGUUACUAUACAUCAGACAGUACAGUUACUAUACAUCAGACAGUACAGUUACUAUACAUCAGACAGUACAGUUAUAAUACAUCAGACAGUACAGUUACUAUACAUCAGACAGUUACUAUACAUCAGACAGUACAGUUACUAUACAUCAGACAGUACAGUUACUAUACAUCAGACAGUACAGUUACUAUACAUCAGACAGUACACUUACUAUACAUCAGACAGUACAGUUACUAUACAUCAUACAGUUACUAUACAUCAUACAGUUACUAUACAUCAGACAGUUACUAUACAUCAGACAGUUACUAUACAUCAGACAGUACAGUUACUAUACAUCAGACAGUACAGUUACUAUACAUCAGACAGUUACUAUACAUCAGACAGUACAGUUACUAUACAUCAGACAGUUACUAUACAUCAGACAGUACAGUUACUAUACAUCAGACAGUUACUAUACAUCAUACAGUUACUAUACAUCAGACAGUACAGUUACUAUACAUCAGACAGUACAGUUACUAUACAUCAGACAGUUACUAUACAUCAGACAGUACAGUUACUAUACAUCAGACAGUUACUAUACAUCAUACAGUUACUAUACAUCAGACAGUUACUAUACAUCAGACAGUACAGUUACUAUACAUCAGACAGUUACUAUACAUCAGACAGUACAGUUACUAUACAUCAUACAGUUACUAUACAUCAGACAGUUACUAUACAUCAGACAGUACAGUUACUAUACAUCAGACAGUACAGUUACUAUACAUCAGACAGUUACUGUACAUCAGACAGUACAGUUACUAUACAUCAGACAGUUACUAUACAUCAGACAGUUACUAUACAUCAGACAGUACAGUUGCUAUACAUCAUACAGUACAGUUACUAUACAUCAUACAGUACAGUUACUAUACAUCAGACAGUACAGUUACUAUACAUCAGACAGUUACUAUACAUCAGACAGUUACUAUACAUCAGACAGUUACUAUACAUCAUACAGUUACUAUACAUCAUACAGUUAAUAUACAUCAGACAGUUACUGUACAUCAGACAGUUACUAUACAUCAUACAGUUACUAUACAUCAUACAGUUACUAUACAUCAGACAGUACAGUUACUAUACAUCAGACAGUACAGUUACUAUACAUCAGACAGUUACUAUACAUCAGACAGUUACUGUACAUCAGACAGUACAGUUACUAUACAUCAGACAGUUACUAUACAUCAAACAGUUACUAUACAUCAGACAGUACAGUUGCUAUACAUCAUACAGUACAGUUACUAUACAUCAGACAGUACAGUUACUAUACAUCAUACAGUACAGUUACUAUACAUCAGACAGUGCAGUUACUAUACAUCAGACAGUUACUAUACAUCAGACAGUUACUAUACAUCAGACAGUACAGUUGCUAUACAUCAUACAGUACAGUUACUAUACAUCAUACAGUACAGUUACUAUACAUCAUACAGUACAGUUACUAUACAUCAUACAGUACAGUUACUAUACAUCAGACAGUACAGUUGCUAUACAUCAUACAGUACAGUUACUAUACAUCAGACAGUACAGUUACUAUACAUCAUACAGUACAGUUACUAUACAUCAGACAGUACAGUUACUAUACAUCAGACAGUUACUAUACAUCAGACAGUUACUAUACAUCAGACAGUACAGUUGCUAUACAUCAUACAGUACAGUUACUAUACAUCAUACAGUACAGUUACUAUACAUCAUACAGUUCAGUUACUAUACAUCAUACAGUUACUAUACAUCAUACAGUUACUAUACAUCAGACAGUUACUAUACAUCAGACAGUACAGUUACUAUACAUCAGACAGUUACUAUACAUCAGACAGUACAGUUACUAUACAUCAGACAGUUACUAUACAUCAGACAGUACAGUUACUAUACAUCAGACAGUACAGUUACUAUACAUCAGACAGUGCAGUUACUAUACAUCAUACAGUACAGUUACUAUACAUCAGACAGUGCAGUUACUAUACAUCAGACAGUUACUAUACAUCAUACAGUUACUAUACAUCAGACAGUUACUAUACAUCAGGCAGUUACUAUACAUCAGACAGUUACUAUACAUCAUACAGUUACUAUACAUCAGACAGUACAGUUACUAUACAUCAGACAGUUACUAUACAUCAGACAGUACAGUUACUAUACAUCAGACAGUACAGUUACUAUACAUCAUACAGUUACUAUACAUCAGACAGUUACUAUACAUCAGACAGUUACUAUACAUCAGACAGUUACUAUACAUCAUACAGUUACUAUACAUCAGACAGUACAGUUACUAUACAUCAGACAGUUACUAUACAUCAGACAGUUACUAUACAUCAGACAGUUACUAUACAUCAGACAGUUACUAUACAUCAUACAGUUACUAUACAUCAGACAGUUACUAUACAUCAGACAGUUGCUAUACAUCAGACAGUUACUAUACAUCAGACAGUUACUAUACAUCAUACAGUUACUAUACAUCAUACAGUUACUAUACAUCAGACAGUUACUAUACAUCAUACAGUUACUAUACAUCAGACAGUACAGUUACUAUACAUCAUACAGUUACUAUACAUCAGACAGUUACUAUACAUCAUACAGUACAGUUACUAUACAUCAGACAGUUACUAUACAUCAGACAGUUACUAUACAUCAGACAGUACAGUUACUAUACAUCAUACAGUUACUAUACAUCAUACAGUUACUAUACAUCAGACAGUACAGUUACUAUACAUCAGACAGUACAGUUACUAUACAUCAUACAGUUACUAUACAUCAUACAGUUACUAUACAUCAGACAGUUACUAUACAUCAGACAGUACAGUUACUAUACAUCAGACAGUACAGUUACUAUACAUCAGACAGUACAGUUACUAUACAUCAUACAGUUACUAUACAUCAUACAGUUACUAUACAUCAGACAGUACAGUUACUAUACAUCAGACAGUUACUAUACAUCAGACAGUUACUAUACAUCAGACAGUUACUAUACAUCAUACAGUACAGUUACUAUACAUCAGACAGUUACUAUACAUCAGACAGUUACUAUACAUCAGACAGUACAGUUACUAUACAUCAUACAGUUACUAUACAUCAGACAGUUACUAUACAUCAGACAGUUACUAUACAUCAGACAGUUACUAUACAUCAUACAGUACAGUUACUAUACAUCAUACAGUUACUAUACAUCAUACAGUACAGUUACUAUACAUCAGACAGUUACUAUACAUCAGACAGUUACUAUACAUCAGACAGUUACUGUACAUCAGGCAGUUACUAUAUAUCAGUCAGUUGCUGUACAUCAGACAGUUACUGUACAUCAGGCAGUUACUAUAUAUCAGUCAGUUGCUGUACAUCAGACAGUACAGUUACUAUACAUCAGACAGUACAGUUACUAUACAUCAUACAGUUACUAUACAUCAUACAGUUACUAUACAUCAUACAGUGCAGUAGCUAUACAUCAGACAGUAGGGAGACUAUACAUCAGACAGUACAGUUACUCUACAUCAGACAGUACAGUUACUAUACAGCAGACAGUACAGUUACUAUACAUCAGACAGUAGGGAGACUAUAUGUGUACAUUUUGCUGUAUAUUGUAGUACAUUGUUGUCAUUUGGGAAUAGAGAAUUCUACAGAGGGCAAUUGA